rnacentral:rRNA from 1 species
AACGAACGCUGGCGGCAUGCCUAACACAUGCAAGUCGAACGAGACCUUCGGGUCUAGUGGCGCACGGGUGCGUAACGCGUGGGAACCUGCCCUUAGGUUCGGAAUAACUCCCCGAAAGGGGUGCUAAUACCGGACAAUGUCUUCGGACCAAAGAUUUAUCGCCUUUGGAUGGGCCCGCGUUGGAUUAGCUAGUUGGUAGGGUAAAAGCCUACCAAGGCGACGAUCCAUAGCUGGUCUGAGAGAAUGAUCAGCCACACUGGGACUGAGACACGGCCCAGACUCCUACGGGAGGAAGCAGUGGGGAAUAUUGGACAAUGGGCGAAAGCCUGAUCCAGCAAUGCCGCGUGAGUGAUGAAGGACUUAGGGUUGUAAAGCUCUUUUACCCGGGAUGAUAAUGACAGUACCGGGAGAAUAAGCGCCGGCUAACUCCGUG